rnacentral:rRNA from 1 species
UACGGAGGGUGCGAGCGUUGUCCGGAAUCACUGGGCGUAAAGGGCGCGUAGGCGGCUUCUCAAGCGUGUGGUGAAAGUCCGGGGCUCAACCCCGGAUCGGCCGUGCGGACUGGGGAGCUCGAGUUCUGUAGAGGCGGGUGGAAUUCCGGGUGUAGCGGUGGAAUGCGUAGAGAUCCGGAAGAACACCGGUGGCGAAGGCGGUGAGCUGGGCAGUUGCUGACACUGAGGCGCGACAGCGUGGGGAGCAAACAGG